rnacentral:tRNA from 1 species
GGGGCUGUAGCAUAGCUGGUCUAUUGCGCUUCAUUUGCAAUGAAGAGGUCGCGGGUUCGAAUCCCGCCAGCUCCA